rnacentral:rRNA from 1 species
GACGAACGCUGGCGGCGUGCUUAACACAUGCAAGUCGAGCGGUAAGGCCCUUUCGGGGGGUACACGAGCGGCGAACGGGUGAGUAACACGUGGGUGACCUGCCCUUAGCUCUGGGAUAAGCCUGGGAAACUGGGUCUAAUACCGGAUAUGACUCCAUGACGCAUGUUGUGGGGUGGAAAGCCUUGUGCGGCUAGGGAUGGGCCCGCGGCCUAUCAGCUUGUUGGUGGGGUGAUGGCCUACCAAGGCGACGACGGGUAGCCGGCCUGAGAGGGCGACCGGCCACACUGGGACUGAGACACGGCCCAGACUCCUACGGGAGGCAGCAGUGGGGAAUCUUGCGCAAUGGGCGAAAGCCUGACGCAGCGACGCCGCGUGA